GAUCAUGGCUCAGGACGAACGCUGGCGGCGUGCUUCAUACAUGCAAGUCGAACGAUAAGGUCUCUUCGGAGAUACAUAAGUGGCGGACGGGUGAGUAAAAUGUAGAGAAUCUGCCCUUAAGCGGGGGACAACAGAGGGAAACUUCUGCUAAUACCCCAUAUGAGCGUACCUGAAAUGGUAUUCUUGAAAACUCCGGUGCUUAAGGAUGAGUCUGCAUCUGAUUAGCUAGUUGGGGGUGUAAUGGACCACCAAGGCGACGAUCAGUAGCUGGUUUGAGAGGAUGAUCAGCCACAAUGGGACUGAGACACGGCCCAUACUCCUACGGGAGGCAGCAGUAGGGAAUUUUGCGCAAUGGGGGAAACCCUGAACCGCAGCAACGCCGCGUGACCGAUGAAGCCCUUCGGGGUGUAAAGGUCUGUCAGUGGGGACGAAACUUGACGGUACCCACAGAGGAAGCAUCGGCUAACUCCGUGCCAGCCGCGGC
rnacentral:rRNA from 1 species